rnacentral:rRNA from 1 species
CCUACGGGUGGCAGCAGUGGGGAAUAUUGCGCAAUGGGCGAAAGCCUGACGCAGCGACGCCGCGUGAGGGAUGAAGGUCUUCGGAUCGUAAACCUCUGUCAGCAGGGAAGAACGGUCACUGUGCUAAUCAGCAGUGAAUUGACGGUACCUGCAAAGGAAGCACCGGCUAACUCCGUGCCAGCAGGCGCGGUAAUACGGAGGGUGCGGGCGUUAAUCGGAAUUACUGGGCGUACAGCGCUCGUAGGCGGUAUGUCAAGUCAAGGGUGAAAUCCCCGCGCUCAACGUGGGAACUGCCUUUGAAACUGGCAAACUGGAGUGUGUGAGAGGAUAGUGGAAUUCCAGGUGUAGGAGUGAAAGCCGUAGAUAUCUGGAGGAACAUCAGUGGCGAAGGCGACUAUCUGGCACAUAACUGACGCUGAGGAGCGAAAGCGUGGGUAGCAAACAGGAUUAGAUACCCUUGUAGUC